GUCUUUUUAAUAAAAUUUAAAGUCCAAUCUGCUCACUGAAUUUUAAAGAGCCGCAGUAUUUUGACUGUGCAAAGGUAGCAUAAUCAAUAGUUUUUUAAUUGGAAACUUGUAUGAAGGAUUAGACGAGAAAUUUAUUUUCUUUGUUUUAGUAAAUUAAAUUUUAAUUUUAAGUGAAAAUGCUUAAAUUUAGUUAAAAGACGAGAAGACCCUAUAGAUUUUUAUUAUUGUAUAAAAUUUUAUAAUUUAAUUUAUGAAAAUAAUUUAAUUGGGGCGAUUUUGUAAAAUAACAAACUUAAUAUUAUUAUAACAUAAGUAAUUGGAUUUUUUGAUCUAAAUUUUUUAAAAGAAAGAUUAAAUUACCUUAGGGAUAACAGCGUAAUUUUAUUUAAGAGUUCAUAUCUAUAAUAAAGAUUGCGACCUCGAUGUUGAAUUAAGAUUAUAUAUUGGAGUAGAAAUUAAUAUAAUUAGUCUGUUCGACUAUUAAAUUCU
rnacentral:rRNA from 1 species